rnacentral:tRNA from 1 species
GGGCUCGUAGCGAAACGGUAUCGCGCGUCGUUCGCAACGACGAGAUUGCGGGUUCGAAUCCCGCCGAGUCCA